UACCAGCACCCCGAGUGGUCGGGACGUUUAUUGGGCCUAAAGCAUCCGUAGCCGGUUCUACAAGUCUUCCGUUAAAUCCACCUGCUUAACAGAUGGGCCGCGGAAGAUACUAUAGAGCUAGGAGGCGGGAGAGGCAAGCGGUACUCGAUGGGUAGGGGUAAAAUCCGUUGAUCCAUUGAAGACCACCAGUGGCGAAGGCGGCUUGCCAGAACGCGCUCGACGGUGAGGGAUGAAAGCUGGGGGAGCAAACCGGAUUAGAAACCCCCGUAGUC
rnacentral:rRNA from 1 species